AGGUCAUUUAUUCUACGCUUAUCUCUCUCCUCGGACCCGUGGCAAUCUUCGCACGCUUUCCGUCUACUCUUUUUGCGCCGUUCCUAUCCCUCCUACCUCUGUGACGUCAUUUGCUCUUUGGCCAGCAGCCUUGGUGAAACUGUUGAACAGCAGUCAGAUCACGUCACUCCCCAGCUCCGAAAUAUCCCAGCACUUGGCGUUGUAUUUAGAAUAAACUCUGGAAUCUGGAUGCUGCCUGCCUCUUCCGUGUCUACUCCCCUCCUCCCUUGCUCCUCUCCUCCAAUCCCGCGGCCCUUCUUGUGGUUCUUUGGAUACCCAAGACCAUCUUGCCUUAGGACCUUUAUACUCACUCUUUCCUCUGCCUGCGGAGGUCCAGGCUUCUUCCCCUGUGACUUCAGGCUUCUCGUCACGAUUCCCGUACACGUACCAUCGGAAGAGAGCACCCUGACUCCUGCCGUGGGUUUUUGUUUCCUUGUCCUGCUUUACUUUUCCUGAACUACAUCAAUUAUUUUUUACUGGAUCCAUGGCCAGAAUACAUCUUGCUCACUGCAGUACUUAGAACAAUGCUAACCAAUGAGUGAGACCUGACCCAAAUCUCAUAAAGGGGAGAAAGUGACAGCUCUGAAAACUACUGCCGUAAAAACAGAGGAGAAGAGGCCGGAAGGAAAACUGUUAACAAGAGAAGAAGCCCAAGUUAGUGCCAUCUUUGGAAGAGCCAGGUGCCUGAAACAUCUACAUAAUGACGGGGACGCCAGCAGUCUCUAAGGACCACGAGAGCACUCUAGAAAGAGCCACUAUUCAUCAAAGAUGGCAGAGCAGGACCAGGAGGUGCCGACUCUGAUGACUGGGUACCCAUCUCUGCACAUCUUCAACAG